rnacentral:rRNA from 1 species
GACGAACGCUGGCGGCGUGCUUAACACAUGCAAGUCGAACGGUGAAGCGCUUUCCUUUUUGGUUGGUGUGGAUGAGUGGCGAACGGGUGAGUAACACGUGAGUAACCUGCCCCCUUCUUCUGGAUAACCGCAUGAAAGUGUGGCUAAUACGGGAUAUUCUGCGCCUGCUGCAUGGUGGGUGUGGGAAAGAUUGUGCCUUUGGGUGUGUUCGGUGGGGGAUGGGCUCGCGGCCUAUCAGCUUGGGGGUGGGGUGAUGGCCUACCAAGGCGGUGACGGGUAGCCGGCCUGAGGGGGUGGACGGUCACACUUGGACUGAGGCACGGCCCAGACUCCUACGGGAGGCAGCAGUGGGGAAUAUUGCACAAUGGGCGCAAGCCUGAUGCAGCGACGCCGCGUGAGGGAUGGAGGCCUUCGGGUUGUGAACCUCUUUCGCCAGUGAAGCAGGCCUGCUCCUUGUGGGUGGGUUGACGGUAGCUGGAUAAGAAGCGCCGGCUAACUACGUG